rnacentral:rRNA from 1 species
ACUUAGGGAUCCGGUGGUUCUGCGUGGAAGGUCCAUCGCUCAACGGAUAAAAGCUCCCCUGGGGAUAACAGGCUUAUCUCCCCCAAGAGGCCACAUCGACGGGGAGGUUUGGCACCUCGAUGGCGGCUCAUCACAUCCUGGGGCUGUAGUAGGGCCCAAGGGUUGGGCUGUUCGCCCAUUAAAGUGGUACGCGAGCUGGGUUCAGAACGUCGUGAGACAGUUCGGUCCCUAUCCGUCGCAGGCGGAGGAAAUUUGAGAAGACCUGUCCUUAGUACGCGAGGACCGGGAUGGACGUACCUCUGGUGUACCAGUUGUUCUGCCAAGGGCAUGGCUGGGUAGCUAUGGACGGAAUGGAUAAGCGCUGAAAGCAUCUAAGCGCGAAGCCAACUUCAAGAUAAGAUUUCCCACCGCAAGGGUAAGACCCCAGAAAGACUA